rnacentral:lncRNA from 1 species
UAAUAUCUGUGCUACUCACCUUCGUGUGAGCGAUGCUUCUCGAUCCUAUUCAGGUGGUUAAUCGGAUGAAAUCCGACGGUCGACCAGGUUGACUUGCUUAAAGUGCAUAAUCGCGUGUUAGGCGACUUCAAUGCAUUUUAGUCAGGUUAAUUUUGUCGGUUCCGCCACAGGCGGAGGGGCGAAGCGGUCGGCGGAGGAGGAGGAGAUGGUGUCGCGGCGGCGGCAGCCGAGGAGAUGCGGUCGGCGGUGGGAGAGAGAAACUGGGAGAGGUCUGUGUGGUGGCCUGGUGGGUGGAGGUGUCGGAUUAGAUUUAGGGCGCGGGUGGUAAGAGGAGGAGAUUAUCGAGAUACCCUAAAAAAUGUGGUGGGAUUUUUGGAGGAGGAGGGUAUUAGCGUCAAUUGGCUCUACGAAAAAUUUUAGGCUGGCGCCAUUGGGCCGAAGAAGGAGGCGGGGUGGCCAACUGAAUUCAGCCCAGCACCUUAUGUGAAGCAAUUUUUUUAAAAUUCAAAAUUAAGGUACAACCCAGCGCCUCGGCAAUUGAGCCUUCUGGCCGUGCCCUAUUCCUCACAUAGCACUUCAAAGUGUACAACCGCCUUUCAAUUGGGUACAUUCAACCAUAUUGCACAGGACCUCGGAGUAAUGCCUCAUCAGGUAAAUGGACAGCAAGGUGCAUCAUGACAUCAAAGAAAGCAGGGGGAAAAAAUUUCUCAAGCUUCACCAAAAUAAUAGGGAUCUCUUUCUUCAUUUCAGCCAAUACAUCCUUGUUAAGUAUUCUGCUGCAUAAUUCCCUAAAAAACUUCCCUAACUCCACUAUUGCUUCAUAAAUGUCCUUGUCCAAAAAUCCUCUCAUGGCAGCAGGUAAGAUUCUUCGCAAAAGAAUGUGACAAUCAUGUGUUUUUAACCC